UACGGGGGGGGCAAGCGUUGUUCGGAAUUACUGGGCGUAAAGGGCUCGUAGGUGGCCAACUAAGUCAGACGUGAAAUCCCUCGGCUUAACCGGGGAACUGCGUCUGAUACUGGAUGGCUUGAGUUUGGGAGAGGGAUGCGGAAUUCCAGGUGUAGCGGUGAAAUGCAUAGAUAUCUGGAGGAACACCGGUGGCGAAGGCGGCACCCUGGACCAACACUGACACUGAGGAGCGAAAGCCAGGGGAGCAAACGGG
rnacentral:rRNA from 1 species